UAGAAGGUAUGGCCCGUUGGAGUAGGU
rnacentral:piRNA from 1 species